UCUAUUCCUUCUCUCUUCUACUCCAUGGAUAUCUUCCUUCAUGGGCGCUCUAUCUCCCAUUUCUUUCUUGGUGGAGGGUCGCGCUCGAGUUGGGUGAGGAGGAAAAUGCCUGAAAUGCAGAAAUGCAGUGGGAUGGAUCGGUGGUUUGAUUGAUUUUACCGCAGUGUCAGAUUUUCUUUUGACGAUGUCGAUCCAGCUUCUGGAUCAAUUGGGCAUGUUGUCCCCGUUGUUGCAUUCUUGCUAGGCUCGGUUCUUACACCAUUGUUCUUCCCUUUCCCUUUCUUUUUUUCUUUCCUCUUCUUUUCUGUUCGGGCCUCUUCAACUUGCUCUCGAUUGGGAUGGAUGGUUUUUUCGGUGUUUUUUUCUUCUUCUUCUGCUCAGUCGUCGCUCUUGCUUCUGUGUGGAAUUGUUGCGGCCACUGUUCUCUCAUUUUCUUCUGUUCCACUGCUGCUGUCAUGGUUGAUGGUUUUCAGAUUCUUUUCCUUGUACUCCAUGAAGUCCAAAGGUUUUCCAGCUAAAGUUCUGUGUUUUCUCGUGACCCGGCACAAUAAUCCAUCGCUGGCUGCAGAGUUGGCAUGUGAGGUGGGCCGAUUUGGCCAUUGUUUUUUUGUGACGAGAUUCCAUCUCUUUGUGGCUUUCUUCUUCUUCUUCGUCUUCGUCUUCCUCUUCUCUUCCUUUUUUGCUGCUGUUUGAUGGAAUGGGAGAGCUUAUUUCUAAGUUAAGCUCUGCGACUUCUCCAGGCAGCUAGCAAAGUGUUGGUUGAAACACGGGUCCAGGCUGCUCGUUGUUGGCUUUGGAAGCUUUAAAGUUGGUAGCUGGAAGGAGAAAAUGACUCGCCAUGACCGUGAAAGAGGCUCUACUAUGCAGCAGUGCUCUGUGAGCGUUUUUUUCUCCUCGGGCCUCUUCCAAAUAUAAAAGGAAAGCUCUCGUACGAGCGAGCGCGGUGGAACAAUCUUCUCUAUGGUGUUUUUGCCCGAGUUUUCUUGGCUUGCAUUGUUUGAUCUCAUUCGAGAAGGAGCGCUCGAUCAUUUCUUUUCUUUUUCCGUGCGUUAUUUGUUUCCAACAACUUAGUGGUUUCUCUUUUCCUUCCUUACGCUUUGUAGUACGUAUGGUGGGUUUGUUUUUCAUACUUUUCUUUGCUUCCCGGUGCUGCCUUUGCGAGUCUUUGCUGUAUAUAUACAUAUAUAUACGAGUGUGGUUUUAGUCUGGCUCUUGUGUUUCGUUUUCUCUCGCUUUGUUUUGAGUGCUUGAGGUGAGAUACUUCUCGUUUUUCUUACUGAUAAGGUUUUUGGAGCGUACAAGUUUGAUUUGAAUGCGGAAUGGGAAUGUUUUCGUCGCAGUUUGUUGGUGUAUAUAUAGAUACUCUGUCAGUAGACUCCUCGCUCUUGGAUUACUCUUGUUACAUUCUCUCUCUUUUUUUUCUCCUGGGACUAAAGUUUUGUGUUGGUGUUCUUGAUCUGGUUCUUGGAAAAGUUUGUGCAUUGAUUGAGUUUCUAGAGCUGUGCAGUUUGAGUGAAUCUCCAGAUCUUUGCAGCAGCAGUGCGGCAGUCAGUGAGUUUGAUGAUAAAUGGAUUGAUAUCUAGCAAGCUUUCAUUUUCGUUGUUCUUGUUUUUACAGUGUUUUUCCUUUUCCAAUAAUUUUUUUUUCUUUCUUUCCAUUCGUUGCUUUCCUGCCAGAUGUCCGUGCCGCUUCUCCAGUUUUGCUCAGCAGCGUGUUGUGCAGCUGUUUGGAUGUUGAAGGCCUUUAAUGGCUUUUGGUACUGUAAGUGACCGAGUUCUUCCUUGCAUUUGUUUUUCUUAACUCUGCUUCUUCUUUUCUUUCUUUGUUUUUUCCCCUCGGUGUUCUAUGAAUGCGAGUGUGUUGUGCGCUGCAGUGGCUUCUAAUGUCCAGGUUUUUUUUUUUUUGUUCUUCCAGCAGGAGCUAGUUCAUCUUGUCUUUCUUGAGCAGUCAUAAGGUAGCCUUUGUGGAAAGCCCCAUUCGAUUCGUUCGUCUCAAUCAGCAUCAGCAGUAUGACGAUCUCUCGAUUCAGAGCAACAAAGUUCCUUGCAGGAAAACGAGAGAAAUAGAAGAAGUUGAAGUUGAAGAAGAAGCUUCAAAGUUCUUGUGGCAUUCUACAUGGACUGCCUUAUGACUGCUCAGCAGCAAGAUUCGCUCGCGUGCUGCUGACAACAAAUCUUUCGAUUGGAGCAAACAGCAGGUGAAAGAACUCGUGGCGCUGUAACAUUUUCAAGCUGAGAAUGGAGGUGAGAGAUUGUUCUCGUUUUCUUUCGUUUUUCUCCUCCUUGAUUUGUAAACAAGCGAUGAAUCGAAAUCUUCCUUCCCGCA